UCACAGGUGAGGGUGAUUCAGCUGUGUGACCGGGAGACCCGUUUAAGCACUGACUGCCUCGGGUGAAGGAUCUCUUUCUGGAGAUCCCUUCUCUGUGGAGUCUUCCCUGCAAACCUAGAUCUUUGGAUUCAGGAUCAGAAUCACGCCCUCUUCAUACCACUAACAAACUCUUAUGAUGGAGCUUGCAGUGAGACUCUUAGUAAGUGAUGUCUGGAUGAAGAAAUGCUGAAGAUGAUUUGGUUAAACUGAAGCAAACAGUGGAGCCCUUUUUCAAAGGAGGUUUGGAGGGGAACAGAUGGGGAAGGCAGGAAGCCCU